GUUAUAUGGUCAAGUGAAGAAGCGCAUACGGUGGAUGCCUUGGCAGUCAGAGGCGAUGAAAGACGUGGUAGCCUGCGAAAAGCUUCGGGGAGUCGGCAAACAGACUUUGAUCCGGAGAUCUCUGAAUGGGGGAACCCACCUAGGAUAACCUAGGUAUCUUGUACUGAAUCCAUAGGUGCAAGAGGCGAACCAGGGGAACUGAAACAUCUAAGUACCCUGAGGAAAAGAAAUCAACCGAGAUUCCCUUAGUAGUGGCGAGCGAACGGGGAUUAGCCCUUAAGCUUCAUUGAUUUUAGCGGAACGCUCUGGAAAGUGCGGCCAUAGUGGGUGAUAGCCCCGUACGCGAAAGGAUCUUUGAAGUGAAAUCGAGUAGGACGGAGCACGAGAAACUUUGUCUGAACAUGGGGGGACCAUCCUCCAAGGCUAAAUACUACUGACUGACCGAUAGUGAACCAGUACCGUGAGGGAAAGGCGAAAAGAACCCCGGAGAGGGGAGUGAAAUAGAACCUGAAACCGUAUGCGUACAAGCAGUGGGAGCCUACUUGUUAGGUGACUGCGUACCUUUUGUAUAAUGGGUCAGCGACUUAUAUUCAGUGGCAAGCUUAACCGUAUAGGGUAGGCGUAGCGAAAGCGAGUCUUAAUAGGGCGUUUAGUCGCUGGGUAUAGACCCGAAACCGGGCGAUCUAUCCAUGAGCAGGUUGAAGGUUAGGUAACACUGACUGGAGGACCGAACCCACUCCCGUUGAAAAGGUAGGGGAUGACUUGUGGAUCGGAGUGAAAGGCUAAUCAAGCUCGGAGAUAGCUGGUUCUCCUCGAAAGCUAUUUAGGUAGCGCCUCAUGUAUCACUCUGGGGGGUAGAGCACUGUUUCGGCUAGGGGGUCAUCCCGACUUACCAAACCGAUGCAAACUCCGAAUACCCAGAAGUGCCGAGCAUGGGAGACACACGGCGGGUGCUAACGUCCGUCGUGAAAAGGGAAACAACCCAGACCGCCAGCUAAGGUCCCAAAGUUGUGGUUAAGUGGUAAACGAUGUGGGAAGGCUUAGACAGCUAGGAGGUUGGCUUAGAAGCAGCCACCCUUUAAAGAAAGCGUAAUAGCUCACUAGUCGAGUCGGCCUGCGCGGAAGAUGUAACGGGGCUCAAACCACACACCGAAGCUGCGGGUGUCACGUAAGUGACGCGGUAGAGGAGCGUUCUGUAAGCCUGUGAAGGUGAGUUGAGAAGCUUGCUGGAGGUAUCAGAAGUGCGAAUGCUGACAUGAGUAACGACAAUGGGUGUGAAAAACACCCACGCCGAAAGACCAAGGGUUCCUGCGCAACGUUAAUCGACGCAGGGUUAGUCGGUUCCUAAGGCGAGGCUGAAAAGCGUAGUCGAUGGGAAACAGGUUAAUAUUCCUGUACUUCUGGUUACUGCGAUGGAGGGACGGAGAAGGCUAGGCCAGCUUGGCGUUGGUUGUCCAAGUUUAAGGUGGUAGGCUGAAAUCUUAGGUAAAUCCGGGGUUUCAAGGCCGAGAGCUGAUGACGAGUCGUCUUUUAGAUGACGAAGUGGUUGAUGCCAUGCUUCCAAGAAAAGCUUCUAAGCUUCAGGUAACCAGGAACCGUACCCCAAACCGACACAGGUGGUCGGGUAGAGAAUACCAAGGCGCUUGAGAGAACUCGGGUGAAGGAACUAGGCAAAAUGGCACCGUAACUUCGGGAGAAGGUGCGCCGGCUAGGGUGAAGGAUUUACUCCGUAAGCUCUGGCUGGUCGAAGAUACCAGGCCGCUGCGACUGUUUAUUAAAAACACAGCACUCUGCAAACACGAAAGUGGACGUAUAGGGUGUGACGCCUGCCCGGUGCCGGAAGGUUAAUUGAUGGGGUUAGCGCAAGCGAAGCUCUUGAUCGAAGCCCCGGUAAACGGCGGCCGUAACUAUAACGGUCCUAAGGUAGCGAAAUUCCUUGUCGGGUAAGUUCCGACCUGCACGAAUGGCGUAACGAUGGCGGCGCUGUCUCCACCCGAGACUCAGUGAAAUUGAAAUCGCUGUGAAGAUGCAGUGUAUCCGCGGCUAGACGGAAAGACCCCGUGAACCUUUACUGUAGCUUUGCACUGGACUUUGAGCCUGCUUGUGUAGGAUAGGUGGGAGGCUUUGAAGCGUGGACGCCAGUUCGCGUGGAGCCAUCCUUGAAAUACCACCCUGGCAUGCUUGAGGUUCUAACUCUGGUCCGUGAUCCGGAUCGAGGACAGUGUAUGGUGGGCAGUUUGACUGGGGCGGUCUCCUCCUAAAGAGUAACGGAGGAGUACGAAGGUGCGCUCAGACCGGUCGGAAAUCGGUCGUAGAGUAUAAAGGCAAAAGCGCGCUUGACUGCGAGACAGACACGUCGAGCAGGUACGAAAGUAGGUCUUAGUGAUCCGGUGGUUCUGUAUGGAAGGGCCAUCGCUCAACGGAUAAAAGGUACUCCGGGGAUAACAGGCUGAUACCGCCCAAGAGUUCAUAUCGACGGCGGUGUUUGGCACCUCGAUGUCGGCUCAUCACAUCCUGGGGCUGAAGCCGGUCCCAAGGGUAUGGCUGUUCGCCAUUUAAAGUGGUACGCGAGCUGGGUUUAGAACGUCGUGAGACAGUUCGGUCCCUAUCUGCCGUGGACGUUUGAGAUUUGAGAGGGGCUGCUCCUAGUACGAGAGGACCGGAGUGGACGAACCUCUGGUGUUCCGGUUGUCACGCCAGUGGCAUUGCCGGGUAGCUAUGUUCGGAAAAGAUAACCGCUGAAAGCAUCUAAGCGGGAAACUUGCCUCAAGAUGAGAUCUCACUGGGAACUUGAUUCCCCUGAAGGGCCGUCGAAGACUACGACGUUGAUAGGCUGGGUGUGUAAGCGUUGU
rnacentral:rRNA from 1 species